GAAGAACAAUACUUGGAAUUCUUAAUGCAUUCCAACAAUAAAGCUGCUGAAUAAAACGUGUUAGUAAGUUUAACUUGAUGAACCUACCAGUGACAUUGAGGUGACAUUCCUUAUAGUUCAUCCCAUAACUUGUGUCCACUUGACACCAGUACAGCCCCGAGUCAUUAGUCUGGAGUCUGGAGAUGUGAAGUCUGAGUCGUCCUUCUCUGAGGACGUCUUUGUCCCACUGGACUCGUCCUGCAAAGCGUUUAUCCUGCAUCUCUGGGACCUCGACACCUUCAUACAGCUCAAACAGGGUAAAGGGUCUCUCAUCAGCUAACAUCUCACAGGAGACAUAAAGGGCGUUGGGGGAGGGGUCCGUGCUGGUGGGGAACAUCCAUUCCAGUGAGAUGUUGUGGUUCUCCUCUGCAUGAUACCAGCUCUGUGUCACAUUCACUACAAAUGACCCUGCUGAGGAGACAGAGAAGGAGAGGAGGAGGUGACAAAGUGACAGCUUUAACAUGGAGCCUUUAGACUCCAUCUCCAGAUGUUUCUGAGGAGUGUGUGCUGAUGCUUCACAGCUGCUUCACAAACACAAAAG
ensembl:lncRNA